GACGAACGCUGGCGGCGUGCUUAACACAUGCAAGUCGAACGGAAAGGCCCUGCUUUUGUGGGGUUCUCGAGUGCCGAACGGGUGAGUAACACGUGUGUAACCUGACCUUGUCUUUGGGAUAACUUCAGGAAACUGGGGCUAAUACCGGAUAGGAUCUCCUGCUGCAUGGUGGGGGUUGGAAAGUUUCGGCGGUUGGGGAUGGACUCGCGGCUUAUGAGCUUGUUGGUGGGGUAGUGGCUUACCAACUGUUUGACGGCUAGGCGGCAUGGGAGCGUGGACGGCGACAUUGCUACUGCGAUACGGACCAGACGCGUACGGGAGGCAGCAGGGGGGAACCUUGCACAAUGGGAGGAAGUCUGAUGCAGCAACGCCGCGUGCGGGAUGACGUCCUUCGGGUUGUAAACCGCUUUCGCCUGUGACGAAGCGUGAGUGACGGUAAUGGGUAAAGAAGCACCGGCUAACUACGUG
rnacentral:rRNA from 1 species